rnacentral:rRNA from 1 species
UGACAGUACUCCUACGGGGAGGCAGCAGUGGGGGAAUAUUGCACAAUGGGCGCAAGCCUGAUGCAGCCAUGCCGCGUGUGUGAAGAAGGCCUUCGGGUUGUUAAAGCACUUUCAGUCGUGAGGAAGGUAGUGUAGUUAAUAGCUGCAUUAUUUGACGUUAGCGACAGAAGAAGCACCGGCUAACUCCGUGCCAGCAGCCGCGGUAAUACGGAGGGUGCGAGCGUUAAUCGGAAUUACUGGGCGUAAAGCGCAUGCAGGUGGUUUGUUAAGUCAGAUGUGAAAGCCCGGGGCUCAACCUCGGAAUAGCAUUUGAAACUGGCAGACUAGAGUACUGUAGAGGGGGGUAGGAAUUUCAGGUGUAGCGGUGAAAUGCGUAGAGAUCUGAAGGAAUACCGGUGGCGAAGGCGGCCCCCUGGACAGAUACUGACACUCAGAUGCGAAAGCGUGGGGAGCAAACAGGAUUAGAUACCCUGGUAG